GGGCUGGUGGCUGAGUCUUGCCAAGAGGUUAACAAGCAGUGUACUGAAGAACUUCCUGUUUCCAAAUCGCAAACCAGAGCAAAGUCACCUCUGUUGUCAGAUCUGCAAAAUUCAACUGAUAAUGGUCAUGGUCCAGUAGCUGCAUCUCAUCUCAACCGUAUGGUUGCUUCCAAUUCUCCUGAGCCUGUGUCAGCACAGAAAAUUGUCAUUCCAGCAACCUCUCACCAUUUUUGCUUUUCAAUAGACCUUCGAAGUAUACGUGGUCUGGAAGUUGGGUUUCCAAUAAAUGGCAUUUUAAGGUACUCGUAUCCAUUUUUUGGCAGUGCAGCGCCUAUUAUGACGAACCCACCUGUAGAAGUCAGAAAGAACAUGGAAGUCUUCCUUCCACAGUCCUACUGUGCAUUUGACUUGGCAGCCAUACCUCAUCAACUUCAAGAAACAUUCUUUAGGUGAUAACUUGCAUUCUUCUUAUCUUAAUUAUGCUUUUUGUAUUUCUUGUUAUAGAUGAAGUAACAGGCUUGAUUAUUUUGCCUACGAUCAUCAGCUUGAGAAUUUAGCAGGAAAAGCCCCGAGGCCAGCUCCAGCUCCUCCAGCUUCAGAAGGGGGAGACCUAAACCUCAGCCGGCUUCCUCCAGCAGCCCUGCAGGCUCCAGCAUGAGAGAAGGGACCAGCACAUCGGAUGGUGCCCUCUGCAUGGUUCCCAGGCACCUCCCGUCCGGUCCUGUCCCGGCAGGGUUUAUUUUUAGGUUUAGGAUUAGUCUUACGUUCGGGGGUUACCGUUAGGAUUCUGGUUAGGAUUAGCUGCCGGUAGUGUUAGGGUUAGGAUUAAACCAAGUUAGGGGUUAGAUUUAGGAGUUAGCAUGCGCAGGCAGCACACAUAAGAAUUAAUUGGCUGAGCUGAUGAGCGCCCUGGAGGCACCCAUGAAGAAGCGGACAAGAGAGGAACAUUGCCGGGAAAGUGCCUAUGAGAAGUACCGUAAACAGAAGAACAGAAGCAGCAAUUGUAGCCUUCUGAUGCCCACAGAAGGAAUUGGGACUGCGUGUGAACAGCGAGCGAUCGGUUCCCGAUUGAACAGUUAUUCUGAAGUUUGAGCACGAGGCCAGUUGUUUGUAACCAACCAGAUACCGCCUUGUUUUUCGAAAUUCAGCAGAGUUGCAUAAAAGCAGCCUGCUUUUGCAGUAAAGGGUCUUCUGUUAAUACAAGUUCAGGAGUCCGUGCCUCAGUUCUCUCAAAUGAUGACCUCGGUGUGAUUAGGGACAGAAAGCGCCGCUCACGGAAGAGGGUAGCGUUCUGGAGGGGACAUCUCAGCUGAACGAUUGUCUUGCCGGCAGGACCGAGCAGACAAAGACCCUAAGGCUAAUCAAUCACCUCUUCCACGAGAUUCAGGUGAGCACCUGAGAAACUUAAGAGAGAUAGAGAGAUAGGUUCUAAUAUGUCGACUGAGGGAAAACGAUAAUAAGAAUGCUGCAACAUAUUUUAAAGAAACGAAAAGUUAAGCAUGACAAAUAUAUGCUAGAAUUAUUAUCAGCGUGGUUGAAGAAUAAGAAUUUGCCCGCAGAAUCACCACAUGUUUUUGAUGUUCAGUCUUGGAAAGAAGUUGGUUAAUUUGCUUUUUGAACAUGCUUCCAAAGGUGAUGAAAAUGCCAUGCGUGUUAUGACUACGUGGCGUUUAGUCUUUGAGACUUUAAAAGAAAUGCGCUGUGUCAAGGGAGUAGCAGAGGCAGUUCGAAGGCCCUGGGCCACAGGUAUGGGCACAUCAGGAGAGUGGGACAGGCAGGAAAUGGCCGCCCAAACAUAUGAGAGUGAUAGUGAGCAGCAACGAGGAAGGAACGAGAUUGAUUAUUCUGAUAGUGAAAAAACUGUUGUUUCAAAAACCUCCUUGUUGUCCUCGAGAAGGCAAAUGAAGAAAAAGGAGAGAGAUCGCAGGAAGAUACGACUUGGGGAACAGGAUAGUGAUAGUGAUGGAGAGCAAGCAGGGCGAUUUAGUGGAAGUUUACAUGUCGUUUACAUCAAUGAAACAAGGAAACGCAGAACCUUACGUGACGUUUGUAGAUCGAUUACGUGACACAAUAGGAAAAAAAGUUCCAUCUUAACAGCAGUUGGUACAGGAACAAACUACAAGCCGGGC